AGGAUGAACGCUGGCGGCGUGCCUAAUACAUGCAAGUCGUGCGGUAACAGGAGGAGCUUGCUCCUUGCUGACGAGCGGCGGACGGCUGAGUAACGCGUAGGAACCUACCCCAAACUGAGGGAUAAGCACCAGAAAUGGUGUCUAAUACCGCAUGUGCUCCACGGAGUAAAGCUUCGGCGGUUUGGGAAGGGCCUGCGUAUGAUUAGCUUGUUGGUGAGGUAAAAGCUCACCAAGGCGACGAUCAUUAGCUGGUCUGAGAGGAUGAUCAGCCAGACUGGGACUGAGAACGGCCCAGACUCCUACGGGAGGCAGCAGUAGGGAAUUUUCCACAAUGGGCGAAAGCCUGAUGGAGCAACGCCGCGUGCAGGAUGAAGGCCUUCGGGUCGUAAACUGCUUUUAUAUGUGACGAAUAUGACGGUAGCAUAUGAAUAAGGAUCGGCUAACUCCGCGCCAGCAGCCGCGGUAA
rnacentral:rRNA from 1 species